rnacentral:misc_RNA from 1 species
AGGCUUUGCCUGCUAUCUCUUACCCAUGUCUUUUGAGUACCUUACGUUUCCUCGGUGGGUUCGCCCACCGAUUGGACAAAUUUAAACCCUUUGCAGUUGAAAUCAGCGUCUGAAAAAACUUAAUAGUUACAACUUUCAACAACGGAUCUCUUGGUUCUGGCAUCGAUAAAAACGCAUCAGGACGGACUCUUGGUUCUGGCAUCGAUGAAGAACGC